GUCUCCUGGGGCUCUUCUCUCACUUACCCAGCUGCAGGCAUAACACACUUUCUGUGCACUCGCUUUGAACCUCCCUGAACUCCCAUGCGUGAUGGCAUCGGUUGGAAGAUAAAAUUGUGAGAAUUUCAAGAUGGUGACAACAGAGCUUUAAACCAAGGGCAGGUCCUUCUGAGCACAGAGCCCUGGGUGACUGCACAGUUUAUAGGACUCCUAUUCUUCAAGGAUUUUCUUAAGACUCCCCUCCCCACUCUUUACCCCCAAGGUCUUGAAGCCCCAGCAGAGCUCCAGUGAUAUCUUUGUUGCCAUUAAGUGCGUAUUUCUCUGCAUAACUUGGAGUUCCUCCAGAUUCUGGUAAUGCUGAAGGCAUGUGUGGUUUAUUUUCACUCCUUGAUGAUCUUGUUUUGGGGAGGUCGUAUGGAGAGUUUUAAACUCAAGUGGCUGCUCUUAUAGUACAGAUUAGGACGUGUGUGCGUUUGAUGCUAUUGUGAAAAUUUUCUCUUUCCACAACAAAGGACUGUUUAAUCAAAACCAUUAUUAUUAUUAUUUUUGGACUGGGUGACACAUUCAGAAAGAUCAAACAUAAAAGGUUAAAGGUAUAUUCAAAAUUUGAUUUUCUAAUUAUUUACUGUGGUUACGUAGAAAUAAUAAUUGCUUUUUAAAAACCUAUCUAUGUACCUCCAGACCUUGUUAAAUCCACUUACUAGCUCUUAAUACCUCAUCUGCAGUUUUGUUUUGUUUUGGCAUUUUACAUAAACCAAUUACGUACUCAGAGAAUGAUGACCGUUUUCCUUCUUUCUUUCCAAUUCUAUCCUUUCUCCAUUUUUCUUGAUUUACUGCUGUUAGGCCCUCUGGUACAGCAUUGACUAGAAGUGAUGACAGUGGGAAUUUUCAUCAUUCCUCAGUUCUAGAACUUCCAUUGGAUCUUUUUAAUUUGGGGGCCAAGAUGGCAGAGCAGCAUGGAAAUCCUUGGCUUUUCCCGUCCCUGAAAUACAGCUAGAUCAGCACCAAACCAUCUUACACACCUAGGAAACUGAUCUGAGGAUUGACACAACAAUGUGCAUAACUUGGGCCACAGAACUUGGCAGGUAA